rnacentral:rRNA from 1 species
AAAUUUGAAAGCUGGUAUCUUUGGUGCCCGCGUUGUAAUCUCGAGACGCGUUUUCCGCGCGGCGCUAUGGACAAGUUCCUUGGAACAGGACAUCGUAGAGGGUGAAAAUCCCGUACUUGCCAUGGAUGCACCGUGCUUUGUGAUACGUGCUCAAAGAGUCGAGUUGUUUGGGAUUGCAGCUCAAAAUGGGUGGUAGACUCCAUCUAAAGCUAAAUAUCGGGGAGAGACCGAUAGCGAACAAGUACCGUGAGGGAAAGAUGAAAAGCACUUUGGAAAGAGAGUUAAAAGUACGUGAAAUUGUCGAAAGGGAAGCGCUUGAAGUCAGCCAUGCCGCUCAGGACUCAGCCUGGCUUUUGCUUGGUGUACUUCCUGGGUAGCAAGUCAGCAUUGGUUUGGACCGUCGGAGAAGCAUGGCAGGAAUGUGACGCCCUCGGGCGUGUUAUAGCCUGCCAUUGGAUACGCCGGUCUAGACCAAGGAACGCAGUGCGCCUUACGGCGGGUCUUCGGACACCUUCGCACUUAGGAUGCUGGCGUAAUGGCUUUAAGCGGC